UACGAAGGGGGCUAGCGUUGCUCGGAAUCACUGGGCGUAAAGGGUGCGUAGGCGGGUCUUUAAGUCAGGGGUGAAAUCCUGGAGCUCAACUCCAGAACUGCCUUUGAUACUGAGGAUCUUGAGUCCGGGAGAGGUGAGUGGAACUGCGAGUGUAGAGGUGAAAUUCGUAGAUAUUCGCAAGAACACCAGUGGCGAAGGCGGCUCACUGGCCCGGUACUGACGCUGAGGCACGAAAGCGUGGGGAGCAAACAGGAUUAGAU
rnacentral:rRNA from 1 species